AGGCGAUGAUGUUUUGAGUAUACCAUCAAACUAAGAAAGCUUCGUUUAAGAGCUUGUUGAUUCACAAUUUACAACUCUCUGAGCCU